rnacentral:rRNA from 1 species
AACGCGAAGAACCUUACCUACCUUUGAAUCCACGGAAUUUUGCAGAGAUGCAGAAGUGCCUUCGGGAACCGUGAGACAGGUGCUGCAUGGCUGUCGUCAGCUCGUGUCGUGAGAUGUUGGGUUAAGUCCCGUAACGAGCGCAACCCUUGUCCUUAGUUACCAACGAGUAAAGUCGGGGACUUUAAGGAGACUGCCGGUGAUAAACCGGAGGAAGGUGGGGAUGACGUCAAGUCCUCAUGGCCCUUACAGGUAGGGCUACACACGUGCUACAAUGGCCGGUACAAAGGGUUGCCAACCCGCGAGGGGGAGCUAAUCUCAAAAAGCCGGUCGUAGUCCGGAUUGGAGUCUGCAACUCGACUCCAUGAAGCUGGAAUCGCUAGUAAUCGCGGAUCAGAACGCCGCGGUGAAUACGUUCCCGGGCCUUGUACACACCGCUCGUC